UUUCCGUAGGUGAACCUGCGGAAGGAUCAUUCAUAAUAAAGUGCUUUAUGGCACUUUUUAAAAAUCCAUAUCCACCUUGUGUGCAAUGUUAGAUCUCGUCAAUCUUGGCGAGAUUUUUAUACAUCAACUCAUUCUUUAACUAAUUUGUCUGAAAAAUAUUAUGAAUACUUAAUUCAAAAUACAACUUUCAACAACGGAUCUCUUGGUUCUG
rnacentral:misc_RNA from 1 species